rnacentral:sRNA from 1 species
CUAAUUUGCACGUAUUGUAUGAGCUCCCAGUGGGGCAAGUCGUUCCUUCUGGAAACAUCAGCAGCCACCCCUUCUCACGGACUGGCUAUAGGGGACUGUGUGUCCCACACACAGCCCACAGAUGAAAGGGGAGAACUGCCUGCAAGUACAGCUGGUAGCUGGGCCCCACUCCAUACUGCGCUGUUGCCUAAGAGUUCAGACCCACCUAGAAGCAGCUUCACAGGUAAGAACCCCACCUCAGGCCAAUGUCUAACACCCCUCCUUGAUCCUAAGGGACAUAUCUUCAGGGCCUGGAGACUGAAGCCACCUAUGACGCAGCCACCCAGGAGUUUGUGAUACACAGCCCCACGCUGACUGCCACCAAAUGGUGGCCUGGAGACCUGGGACGGUCAGCCACCCACGCCCUGGUCCAGGCCCAGCUGAUCUGCUCAGGAGCCAGGCAGGGCAUGCACGCUUUUAUUGUGCCAAUCCGGAGUCUUCAGGACCACACCCCACUGCCAGGAAUCAUCAUUGGGGACAUCGGACCCAAGAUGGACUUUGAUCAAACAGACAAUGGCU